CCCAUCUAAUUUGUUGUUUCCACCUUCCUGGCAAAUGAUAUGGAUCACCAUGAUGUCAACCAUUGUAAUUGCUUAUUCCCAAUUCUUCGCGACAUGAAAAAUCCGCUUGUUUUUAGUAGAAUCUAUAUUAAAUGACAAGUCAAAUUCAUCUGGUGUUCAUAAAGAUCUACGAAAGGACAGAAAUUUCUUUUAUAAAUCGUCAAAUUGUAAGCGGAUCAACUAUGGUAAAGUGCCACACUGCCCUCGGUGGGAGGAAUUUUACCACUCCUUUGUUGUCCUCAAUCCAGAUCAACCACUUAUGCGAGACGCAAUAUUUUUCUCCUUAUACCCAAAACCUGUCUCAAUUCUCAUAAGCGAUAGUUGUGCAUAUAGAAUGAAGGAUUAUGCUUAUCUAACAAUGAUUGAACAAUUGCAUUGUUCAGAUAAACACAAAAGUCAUUGUGUUUGUAUAAACGAUGAUGUUGUAUGUGCAUAAGGGUCACCUCACAAAAAUGUCUACUUUUUUGGUUGUCUCGUAAAAAUUCAUCAGGCUAUGUUUUAUCAAAAUCAAGUAUAAAUUGUUGGCUGCACUCCGAAUAAUGAUGAUUCUGAUCUGAACAAUUAUUGUAUGUGAAUUCAUCAAAUGGACAAAAAGAUUAUCGUAUUUAUAACACAUGUGGUAUGCAUGUGGCACAAGGGCUACCGCAAAAACACACUAUGAUUUUGAGGGACUUGUUGGAAUCUGUGAACCAUUGUUUCUCUUUGGUGUUGUUUUCGCAAUAAAAUGGAUAUGAAGAAAUAACUGAUGAUAAUUUAUCAUGACCUUGCUUUAGCCCUAUAAUAUGAUGCUUCGUUUUCGUUGAAAUGAAAGAUGACACUUUUCACUUUUACAGUUCUUGUUAAGAAAGUUUAGGAUAUGAACACUUGCCAUACCUGCUUAGCAUAAACUGCAAACUCGGAGAUUGCUCUAGCUCUAGCUCUAGCUCAUAAGCUUUUGGUUCUUGGCACGACACAAUAACCUUCUUAUGAACACCAAAAUCAUAAGGUAGACAUGAAUGUGUAUCUUGGUUGUCGUCGAAUAUAGGACAAUGAUGAGAAUGCGAGAGUACUUGCUUGCAGAGAUAUCUGUUUUGUGGUGCAUGCCAAGUUUGUUAAUUAUUUUUCUGCUUGUUUUAGAGGAAGGGUAACUACCAUCAGGAAGAAAGUAAACUUGCUUCUUGUUAGUAAAUCAUUCUAUUUUUGGAAGAAGAUAAACUUGUUCUUUUUUGAUUCCUUAUUAAUUAAUUCUUUCCUUUAUUCUUUAUCAUUUUCUAGUAAGUAAAUAUUAUGGCUUGCGUACCCUAAACCCUAAUCUUUUUUCAUUUUCUUUUAAUGGACAAAGUUGUAUAUAUAUGUUGGUUAACUAUUUGAAUAAUGUGUGGAAUAUUUUUAUGGUAAUUGACUUCUUGGUAUCUGAGCCAAAAAAAAAAUUCCUCUAUGUUUCUUUCUUUCUCUUCAUUUCUCUUAUAAUAAUGAGUUCGGAGACUAGCAUGGAUAAGAAUGUGUCUUCAUCUAGCACAUCCAAACAAGUGAAUUCGUCUGUGAUCACUCAACCUUUUGGAGAAGGAUCAUUGUUGAAGAUCACAAGCCAUAAGUUGGAUUGCAAGAACUUUCUUCAAUGGUCUCAAUCUGUCUUAUUGGUGAUCAAAGGAAGGCGGAAACUUGGCUACAUCACUAGUGAGAUUCAAUGUUCAAGCAUAGAGGACCCAAGUUCCCAAGUGGGGAACUCAAUAACUCACUUGUUAUGGCAUGGUUGAUCAACUCAAUGGAGCCACAUAUUAGUCGUACCUAUUUAUUCUUACGAACUGCCAAAGAAAUUUGCGGUUGUGAAGGAGAAUUAUUCAAAUCUCGAAAACUCAUCACAAGUUUUCGAGAUAAAGAAUAAACUCAAGGAUAUUCAACAAGAUUGGGGUGAUUUUGAAGAUAACAAGAAGUUUAAAAAGCAUCUAGAAAAAGAAUGCUUGUAUGAGUUUCUAGAUGGACUCAAUAAAGAACUUGACGAGGUUUGUGGACGAAUUCAUGGUUGAAGACCUCUCCCUCCAAUUGACCAAGCAUUUGCAGAAGUGCGACGUGAAGCAAGUAGGCGUCAAGUCAAGCUUGGUGUUAAAAAGGGCUCAUAUGAAAGUCCUAUCACUACUAGAUCCAUAGACAACGAUGGAUUUGUUGUAAAAAAAAAAUGUUAGCCGAUUCAUUGGAGAUCAGAAAUCCAAUUUACGUCUGUAAUGUUCUCACUGCAAUAAACUUAGUCAUACCCAAGAAAUGUGUUGGGAUCUCUAUGGAAACCUACAGAUGCAAAACAAUUGAAACAGAGUCAAUCCAAAGUCUUCCAAACAACUAUAGAAAAGGAGUCUGACGAAUCAACCAACUCAGGGGUUUUCUUAAAGAAGGAUCGAUUUGAGCAGCUGUGUAAACUAUUAAAUCAUUAAAAUAUACGUAAUUCCCAUACUGUAGCAAGCAAUUUUGCUCAUCAAGGUACUGCUCUUAGUAUACAAAAACAAAAUCACUGGAUAUUUGAUUCUGGUGCAUCCGAUCAUAUGAUAGGUAAUCGAUCUCUAUUUUACACUACACCAUGUGAUAAAAUCUCUCGGGUAAAAAUAGCAAAUGGAACUGUCUCCCCUAUUGUUGGAAAAUAGUCUGCCCAUUUAUCAGAUUCUCUUAUUUUGCAUUCUAUACUUUAUGUUCCCAAGAUAGCGUACAAUUUGGUGUCGAUUAGCAAGCUAACUUAUGAUCUUAAUUGCACUGCUGAGUUUUCUGCCAAAUCUUGUCAAAUACAGGAGCAGGGAAUAGAGAGGAUGAUUGGCAUUGC